GACGAACGCUGGCGGGAUGCCUUACACAUGCAAGUCGAACGGAGUGGCGAUCGGGUGAGUAAUGUAUCGGACCGUGCCCCGUCGCGGGGGAUAACUACGCGAAAGCGUAGCUAAUACCGCAUACUAUUGGAGCCGCCGAUAUCGGAUUAGCUAGUUGGUGGGGUAACGGCUCACCAAGGCGACGAUCCGUAGCUGGUUUGAGAGGACGACCAGCCACACUGGGACUGAGACACGGCCCAGACUCCUACGGGAGGCAGCAGUGGGGAAUUUUGGACAAUGGGCGAAACCCUGAUUCAGCCAUGCCGCGUGGACGAUGAAGGCCUUCGGGUUGUAAAGUACUUUUGGCAGGAAAGCGGUACCUGCAGAAGAAGCACCGGCUAACUACGUGCCAGCAGCCGCGGUAAUUC
rnacentral:rRNA from 1 species